rnacentral:misc_RNA from 1 species
GGUAGUAAAAGUCGUAACAAGGUUUCCGUAGGUGAACCUGCGGAAGGAUCAUUCAUAAUAAAGUGUUUUAUGGCACUUUUUAAAAAUCCAUAUCCACCUUGUGUGCAAUGUUAGAUCUCGUCAAUCUUGGCGAGAUUUUUAUACAUCAACUCAUUCUUUAACUAAUUUGUCCGAAAAAUAUUAUGAAUACUUAAUUCAAAAUACAACUUUCAACAACGGAUCUCUUGGCUCUC